rnacentral:misc_RNA from 1 species
UAAAAAGCGAGUCGAAAGUCAGUCUACAAUAUUUCAGUCUAAAAUAUUGAAGCUUAACCACCAACCAGCACACUUGAAAAUAAUGAAAUUUUUCUGCGUAACUACCAUUUUGUUAGUUUUAAGUCUGGCUUUAGUACAAGCACAAAGAGUCAGAAAUUGUCAACUGCAACGAACAUUUUUCUUAAAGAAGGGUCAUCGCGUCUGUAUACCCUAUUGCCCACCAAAAGGAACCUCUUGCAUAACGGCUAAUCGACCCAUGCAAAUACAAUCUUGCACCAUUGGAUGUUGCCGCUCGGGCAAUAAAUGCAUUCCCUUGAGGAAGGGUUAGUGAUCGGGAUUAACGAAGUUGGAAAAGUGCAUACGUAAAAGUGUAAACUGUCUUUAAGGGAAGAAAAAAAUAUUUCCUUAAAUAAAUAAAUAAAUCGCUGAAUAAUAAAUAAUAAUAUGUGUUUUA